rnacentral:piRNA from 2 species
UACAAGGUACUUUCUACUGCCAUUCCUUGG